GUUCAGAUCAGACAACCUUCACGCUCGAGUCUCCUGCUUGUAGUCCAUGUGAUGUUCUGCUCUUGUCAGGACCGUGUUACAGCAAGACAAAAGUCACAACUCACCCAGAUAGUUGAAGACACUUAAGCUGCAGUAAUGAAAUGCAGCAAAGACACAGCCGAGGAGACGAUCAAACAACAUGCUUCAGAUCUCCUUAAUCAUGCAGCAGUGAGAGAGAGAGGGAUUGGUGUUUAUUUAUUAAUUGUUAUUCACUGCAGUGUGAGUCAUGAUGCUCAUUAAGUGAAGUGUCGAGACGUACUGAAAGAGUUCUUACUUCGAGCUCUGUAACAGAUGAGCAGCAGAAUGAUGGUCACCAGCAGAUACGGAGAGACCGUCACCACACUACAGAUCAGCAUGAGCACUGAGAAUGGAGCUUCUACACCUGAUGGACCUGAAGCAGAAUAAAAUGAUAAUCACGUUUUAUUCAUGCUGAACUGUAUGUUUUUGCUCAAUCUGCAGUACAAAUAAAUUCAUGUAUUCCAAAAUUUGGUAUGAAAUGAAAACUUAUUUGUACAGAAAAUAAACAGCUCUGAAAAUAAUUUGCACAAAUUUCCAACAGUUUCUAAAUGAAAUGAAAAAUUAUUAUUAAGAUCACAGCAUGAGGCAGGUUUUGUACCAUUUCAUGUUUUUUAAUUACACUAAAUUAGACACUUUGUUUUUAACCUUUAACACUUUAUAACAAUUUGUGGAGAUUCUAUUCAAUAUAUUAUGUUUAGACUGUAAUGAAGUGAAGAUAAUCUCUUGCAUGUCUCUGGUUUCAGAUUUACUGUAUACUGUGUAUUUUUGUAUUCUUUUAACAAAGAUUAAGUAAUAAAACAC